rnacentral:rRNA from 1 species
ACUGAAUAGAUACCCGGGUAGUCCACGCCGCAAACGAUGAUAACUAGCUGUCCGGGUUCAUGGAAAUUCGGGUGGCGCAGCUAACGCAUUAAGUUAUCCGCCUGGGGAGUACGGUCGCAAGAUUAAAACUCAAAGGAAUUGACGGGGGCGUGCACAAGCGGUGGAGCAUGUGGUUUAAUUCGAAGCAACGCGCAGAACCUUACCAACGUUUGUACAUCCUCAUCGCGAUUUCCUACGAGAUGGAUUUCUUCAGUUCGGCUGGAUGAGUGACAGGUGCUGCAUGGCUGUCGUCAGCUCGUGUCGUGAG